AACUAACGCUGGCGGCGUGCCUAACACAUGCAAGUCGUACGAGAAAGUUGGCUUCGGCCGAUGAGUAAAGUGGCGCACGGGUGAGUAAUGCGUGGAUAAUCUGCCCUUUAGUUGGGAAUAACGUACCGAAAGGUGCGCUAAUACCUGAUAAUACUGCAUAACUACUGUUGUGUAGUCAAAGAAGGCCUCUGUUUACAAGCUUUUGCUGAAGGAUGAGUCCGCGUACCAUUAGCUGGUUGGUGGGGUAAUGGCCUACCAAGGCUACGAUGGUUAGCUGGUCUGAGAGGAUGAUCAGCCACACUGGAACUGAGACACGGUCCAGACUCCUACGGGAGGCAGCAGUGAGGAAUAUUGCGCAAUGGGGGCAACCCUGACGCAGCAACGCCGCGUGAGUGAGGGAGGUUUUCGGACCGUAAAGCUCUGUCGAGCGGGAAGAAAUGUAUCAUGGCUAAUAUCCAUGAUACUUGACGGUACCGCUAAAGG
rnacentral:rRNA from 1 species